rnacentral:tRNA from 1 species
GCGCUGGUGGUGGAACUGGCAGACAUGGCGGGCUCAAACCCCGUCGACCGUCAAGGUCAUUGCGGGUCUGAAUCCCGCCCGGCGCA